UACGGAGGGGGCUAGCGUUGUUCGGAAUUACUGGGCGUAAAGCGCACGUAGGCGGCUUUGUAAGUUAGAGGUGAAAGCCCAGGGCUUAACCCCUGGAAUUGCCUUUAAGACUGCAUCGCUAGAAUCGUGGAGAGGUGAGUGGAAUUCCGAGUGUAGAGGUGAAAUUCGUAGAUAUUCGGAAGAAACACCAGUGGCGAAGGCGACUCACUGGACACGUAUUGACGCUGAGGUGCGAAAGCGUGGGGAGCAAACAGGG
rnacentral:rRNA from 1 species